rnacentral:rRNA from 1 species
AAACCAGCACCUCAAGUGGUCAGGAGGAUUAUUGGGCCUAAAGCAUCCGUAGCCUGUUCUAUAAGUUUCCGGUUAAAUCCAUUAGCUCAACUAAUGGGCCGCCGAAAAUACUGUAGAACUAGGGAGUGGGAGAGGUAGACGGUAUUCGGUAGGAAGGGGUAAAAUCCUUUGAUCUAUUGAGGACCACCUGUGGCGAAGGCGGUCUACCAGAACACGUUCGACGGUGAGGGAUGAAAGCUGGGGGAGCAAACCGGAUUAGAAACCCUGGUAGUCC